AUGGGCUUAUAUUUUGACUCGUGUUUUUAUCAAUGAAGUCUUCUUUUCCGAUUAAAAAAAAACUACAAAAGUGGCAGUUUCUGUCAAACUUUGCACUGAAAAAUUACUAAUUUUGUAGAAGAAAAUAAAGAAAGAAAAAAAUUCUUGGACUGAAAUCAAUUCUGACUUCGCAUUUAUGAGUCAUUUCAAACAUGGCAGGAUUAAGAAAUUCAGAGACAAACAUAUAUGAUAUCCUUACCCAAGAACACAG
rnacentral:misc_RNA from 1 species